CUUGCUUCUCUUGAGAGCGGCGGACGGGUGAGUAAUGCCUAGGAAUCUGCCUGGUAGUGGGGGAUAACGUCCGGAAACGGACGCUAAUACCGCAUACGUCCUACGGGAGAAAGCAGGGGACCUUCGGGCCUUGCGCUAUCAGAUGAGCCUAGGUCGGAUUAGCUAGUUGGUGGGGUAAUGGCUCACCAAGGCGACGAUCCGUAACUGGUCUGAGAGGAUGAUCAGUCACACUGGAACUGAGACACGGUCCAGACUCCUACGGGAGGCAGCAGUGGGGAAUAUUGGACAAUGGGCGAAAGCCUGAUCCAGCCAUGCCGCGUGUGUGAAGAAGGUCUUCGGAUUGUAAAGCACUUUAAGUUGGGAGGAAGGGCAGUAAAUUAAUACUUUGCUGUUUUGACGUUACCGACAGAAUAAGCACCGGCUAACUCUGUGCCAGCAGCCGCGGUAAUACAGAGGGUGCAAGCGUUAAUCGGAAUUACUGGGCGUAAAGCGCGCGUAGGUGGUUCGUUAAGUUGGAUGUGAAAUCCCCGGGCUCAACCUGGGAACUGCAUUCAAAACUGACGAGCUAGAGUAUGGUAGAGGGUGGUGGAAUUUCCUGUGUAGCGGUGAAAUGCGUAGAUAUAGGAAGGAACACCAGUGGCGAAAGCGACCACCUGGGACUGAUACUGACACUGAGGUGCGAAAGCGUGGGGA
rnacentral:rRNA from 1 species